GUCUAUAUAAUUUAUGGAAAAGAAUAUUGUAUUGAAGAUACAAAAGAGACAUUAUUUGUCUGUGGACA
rnacentral:tRNA from 1 species